rnacentral:misc_RNA from 1 species
CAGAGUUGCAAAACUCCCUAAACCAUCGUGAACGUUACCUAUACCGUUGCUUCGGGGGGCGACCCUGCCGUUUCGACGGCGAGCGCCCCCGGAGACCAUCAAACACUGCAUCUUUGCGUCGGAGCUUAAGUAAAUUAAACA